UGCUGAACCAUCUGUGCUGGAACUUGCUGAAUAUUGCUGUACUGCUGGUGUUGUACCACCUGUGGUUGUGGCUGCCUUGCCUGAGGUUGAACCUGCUGACCUGUUUGAUGUGGCCAUUGCUGCUGAGGUUGAAGGUAGAACUCUUGCGCCUGACUAGUUACCUGAGGUACCUCAACUACAGUCUGUGGCUGAGGCUUCUGGGUAAGUGGCUGCACAGAUUGAGCAGCAGCUUGGAAUGGCUGGGCCUGUCUGUGCUCCAGAUGACUUUGGCCUUGCAUACAGUACAUGGUUGUUUGAUUCGAACGCUGUGGGUCUUGCUGAG
rnacentral:lncRNA from 1 species